AUCCGGCUGACGAGUCCCAAAUAAAACGAAAUGCGCACCCUGGAU
rnacentral:hammerhead_ribozyme from 1 species